rnacentral:sRNA from 1 species
UUAUGGGAGGAGUUUACACAGAAU